UCCGUAGGGGGCAAUCGUUAUCCGGAUUUACUGGGUGUAAAGGGAGCGUAGGUGGUUCGGUAAGUCAGAUGUGAAAGCCCGGGGCUCAACCCCGGGACUGCAUUUGAAACUAUCGAACUAGAGUGCAGGAGAGGUAAGUGGAAUUCCUAGUGUAGCGGUGAAAUGCGUAGAUAUUAGGAGGAACACCAGUGGCGAAGGCGGCUUACUGGACUGUAACUGACACUGAGGCUCGAAAGCGUGGGGAGAAAACAGG
rnacentral:rRNA from 1 species